GCGGGGUUAUUAUGGCCUAAUAGAUGUUAAUAGUAAGUUGAUAAUCUUACAAGAAUUGGUUAAUCAAGUGCUUGAAACAGAUCUUAUUAGGGAGAAGUUGGAUGAACAUAUUGAACAAUGGCGGGCACUUGGAUCCACGUGAAGGGAAGAAGCAUUGGAAGCAGCUAGAAAAUUGAGGGAAGUUAAGGAACAGUUGAAAGCCCAGUCUACUGCCAAUGAAGUGCCAAAUGGGCAUAGUUCGACAAGCACAAAAUGCACACUUCUUUUGUGUUCAAAUGAUGAUAAUGUUAGGCAAAAUGGAGAAAUAACUGAGAAGAAAGUGGUGGACAACAUUUCCUCUGAGUUGAAGAAUUCAUUUGAGAGUAAGCCCUUGGAAGUUGCUUCAAAGAAGAUGUCAAAGAGGCAGAAUAUAAAUGUGAAAAUACCAAAAGAAAAUGCAAAAAAAAUAUCUGGGAAAGAGGCACUGAAACGAUUGAGGGACAACAGAAGGAACCAACAGAAAUAAGGAGUAAAGAAGAGAGGGUUAUAAUAUCUCUGAUAUGCAAUCUUUUAGUUGUUGUUUGUGGGGGGCUUUGUUCAUCUUGAAGGUUAUGUUUCCUGUCAUCAUAAGUUUACUUAGUCUGAAGGUAAAAUUAUUGAAAUUGGUUUCCAUGGAGUGCAAAAUGCACAUGUAACUAACUUUAAAGCCAUAAUAACUAGGAGAAUGUUUUGUUUCUAUCAUCAGUUGCUAACAUCUGAGCAUAUGCUCGUAUCUGAUACUAACUGAAACAUAACUAGGAGAAUGUUUUUGAAGAGAAUACUGGACUGCCUGGUUUUUGUAUAUUUCAAGUUUAAAUAAAUGUCCAGACUUAUUCCACCAA